GAUGAACGCUGGCGGCGUGCUUAACACAUGCAAGUCGAACGGAAAGGCCCAAGCUUGCUUGGGUACUCGAGUGGCGAACGGGUGAGUAACACGUGGGUGAUCUGCCCUGCACUUCGGGAUAAGCCUGGGAAACUGGGUCUAAUACCGGAUAGGACCACAUUUUGGAUGGUGUGGUGGAAAGUUUUUCGGUGUGGGAUGAGCUCGCGGCCUAUCAGCUUGUUGGUGGGGUAAUGGCCUACCAAGGCGUCGACGGGUAGCCGGCCUGAGAGGGUGUACGGCCAAUUGGGGUGUGAGACACGGCCCAGCCCCCGCGGGGGGGAGGCAGGGGGGAAUAUGGCACAGGGGGCGCAGCCCUGAGGCGGCGACCCGGGGUGGGGGAUGACGCCUUUGGGUUUUUAAACUCUUUGCGCGGGGGACGAAGCGUUUUUGUGGCGUUCCCGGGAAAAAAAGCACCGCCAAACCAGGUC
rnacentral:rRNA from 1 species